rnacentral:rRNA from 1 species
ACGACGCUGGCGGCGUGCCUAAUACAUGCAAGUCGAACGGUCUUUCUAUGGAAGCUUGCUUCCACUGAGAAGAUAGUGGCGAACGGGUGAGUAACACGUGGGUAACCUGCCCAUAAGAGGGGGGAUAACAUCCGGAAACGGGUGCUAAUACCGCAUAGUUUUCUUGAUCGCAUGAUCGGGGAAGGAAAGACGGCCUUUGUGCUGUCGCUUAUGGAUGGACCCGCGGCGUAUUAGUUAGUUGGUGAGGUAAUGGCUCACCAAGACGAUGAUACGUAGCCGACCUGAGAGGGUGAUCGGCCACAUUGGGACUGAGACACGGCCCAAACUCCUACGGGAGGCAGCAGUAGGGAAUCUUCCGCAAUGGACGAAAGUCUGACGGAGCAACGCCGCGUGAGUGAAGAAGGUUUUCGGAAUCGUAAAACUCUGUUGUCAGAGAAGAACAAGUUGGAGAGUAACUGCUCCAGCCUUGACGGUAUCUGACCAGAAAGCCACGGCUAACUACGUGCCAGCAGCAGC